CCGCGAGAUGGAGCCAAUCCCAGAAAGCCGAUCGAAGUCCGGAUUGUUCUCUGCAACUCGAGAGCAUGAAGUCGGAAUCGCUAGUAAUCGCGGAUCAGCAUGUCGCGGUGAAUACGUUCCCGGGUCUUGUACACACCGCCCGUCACACCAUGGGAGUGGAAUCUGCCAGAAGUAGGUAGCCUAACCGCAAGGAGGGCGCUUACCACGGUGAGUUUCAUGACUGGGGUGAAGUCGUAACAAGGUAACCGUAA
rnacentral:rRNA from 1 species